GCUGGCGGCGUGCCUAAUACAUGCAAGUCGAGCGAACGGACGAGAAGCUUUGCUUCUCUGAUGUUAGCGGCGGACGGGUGAGUAACACGUGGAUAACCUACCUAUAAGACUGGGAUAACUUCGGGAAACCGGAGCUAAUACCGGAUAAUAUUUUGAACCGCAUGGUUCAAAAGUGAAAGACGGUCUUGCUGUCACUUAUAGAUGGAUCCGCGCUGCAUUAGCUAGUUGGUAAGGUAACGGCUUACCAAGGCAACGAUGCAUAGCCGACCUGAGAGGGUGAUCGGCCACACUGGAACUGAGACACGGUCCAGACUCCUACGGGAGGCAGCAGUAGGGAAUCUUCCGCAAUGGGCGAAAGCCUGACGGAGCAACGCCGCGUGAGUGAUGAAGGUCUUCGGAUCGUAAAACUCUGUUAUUAGGGAAGAACAUAUGUGUAAGUAACUGUGCACAUCUUGACGGUACCUAAUCAGAAAGCCACGGCUAACUACGUGCCAGCAGCCGCGGUAAUACGUAGGUGGCAAGCGUUAUCCGGAAUUAUUGGGCGUAAAGCGCGCGUAGGCGGUUUUUUAAGUCUGAUGUGAAAGCCCACGGCUCAACCGUGGAGGGUCAUUGGAAACUGGAAAACUUGAGUGCAGAAGAGGAAAGUGGAAUUCCAUGUGUAGCGGUGAAAUGCGCAGAGAUAUGGAGGAACACCAGUGGCGAAGGCGACUUUCUGGUCUGUAACUGACGCUGAUGUGCGAAAGCGUGGGGAUCAAACAGGAUUAGAUACCCUGGUAGUCCACGCCGUAAACGAUGAGUGCUAAGUGUUAGGGGGUUUCCGCCCCUUAGUGCUGCAGCUAACGCAUUAAGCACUCCGCCUGGGGAGUACGACCGCAAGGUUGAAACUCAAAGGAAUUGACGGC
rnacentral:rRNA from 1 species